rnacentral:lncRNA from 1 species
CUAUUCCUACACAUUAUUUCUCCAAAAGUUGCCACAUAGCAACUUUCCCUUCAUAGUUGAAUGUGGGCUUCACCUCGAACUAGUUCAAGUCCUUCCUCUUCCUUUUUCUUCGGCUGUUACUUUCGUUCAUCGGCAAGAUGAAUCCCACCUCUCAUCAUCCAUUUUUUUAUCGUUAUUUUUUCUUGUUUUAUCGAUGUUUUCUAUUUUUUAAUUUCUCUAAUUAGCUACUCGUCGCAUCGCACGAGUUACUACGUUAUUUGUACAUAAUUGUACUUAUCUAUACCUAUACAUUAAUCCCCAAAAGAAAUGCCACAUGACUGUGUUUUCUUCACUGUUGGCUUUCACCUUAUUAAACCAACUCUUCGCUACGCACAUAACGUCAAAUUAACGAGUCCACCCAACUUAACCAUAUCUAAACCGUAAACUUAGAAACCCACACAAAAAGCCCAACCCUUCGUCUUUCCUUCACAUAUAAUGUUUAAUUAAUGCGUCCACCCACCCUAACCCUAAUAUAAUCGUAAACCAUACAAACUCACAUAAAAGCCCCUUUUCUCCUAUGCAUGUCAUAAAAAUAAAAGCCUACUCAUUUUUUAUAAUAAAUUAUGACCUCCUUCAUUU